CCUACGGGGGGCAGCAGUGAGGAAUAUUGGUCAAUGGACGAUAGUCUGAACCAGCCAAGUAGCGUGAAGGAUGACUGCCCUAUGGGUUGUAAACUUCUUUUAUAAAGGAAUAAAACGAGGCACGUGUGCCUUUUUGCAUGUACUUUAUGAAUUAGGAUCGGCUAACUCCGUGCCAGCAGCCGCGGUAAUACGGAGGAUCCGAGCGUUAUCCGGAUUUAUUGGGUUUAAAGGGAGCGUAGAUGGGUUGUUAAGUCAGUUGUGAAAGUUUGUGGCUCAACCGUAAAAUUGCAGUUGAUACUGGCAGUCUGGAGUACAGUAGAGGUAAGCGGAAUUCGUGGUGUAGCGGUGAAAUGCUUAGAUAUCACGAAGAACCCCGAUUGCGAAGGCAGCUUACUAAACUGUGACUGACAUUGAUGCUCGAAAGUGUGGGUAUCAAACAGGAUUAGAUACCCCAGUAGUC
rnacentral:rRNA from 1 species